UACAGAGGUCUCAAGCGUUGUUCGGAUUCACUGGGCGUAAAGGGUGCGUAGGCGGGUCUUUAAGUCAGGGGUGAAAUCCUGGAGCUCAACUCCAGAACUGCCUUUGAUACUGAGGAUCUUGAGUUCGGGAGAGGUGAGUGGAACUGCGAGUGUAGAGGUGAAAUUCGUAGAUAUUCGCAAGAACACCAGUGGCGAAGGCGGCUCACUGGCCCGAUACUGACGCUGAGGCACGAAAGCGUGGGGAGCAAACAGG
rnacentral:rRNA from 1 species